rnacentral:rRNA from 1 species
AGAGUUUGAUCCUGGCUCAGAUUGAACGCUGGCGGCAUGCUUUACACAUGCAAGUCGAGCGGCAGCGCGGGGGCAACCCUGGCGGCGAGCGGCGAACGGGUGAGGAAUACAUCGGAACGUACCCCGGAGUGGGGGAUAACGCCGCGAAAGCGGCGCUAAUACCGCAUAUGCUCUGAGGAGGAAAGUGGGGGACCUGCAAGGGCCUCACGCUCUGGGAGCGGCCGAUGUCGGAUUAGCUUGUUGGUGGGGUAAUGGCUUACCAAGGCGACGAUCCGUAGCUGGUCUGAGAGGAUGAUCAGCCACACUGGGACUGAGACACGGCCCAGACUCCUACGGGAGGCAGCAGUGGGGAAUUUUGGACAAUGGGGGCAACCCUGAUCCAGCCAUGCCGCGUGCGGGAAGAAGGCCUUCGGGUUGUAAACCGCUUUUAGUCGGGAAGAAAAGGUGACCCCUAAUAAGGGUGACUCUGACGGUACCGGCGGAAUAG